rnacentral:rRNA from 1 species
CCUACGGGAGGCAGCAGUGGGGAAUCUUGCGCAAUGGACGAAAGUCUGACGCAGCCACGCCGCGUGAGUGAAGAAGGCCUUCGGGUUGUAAAGCUCUGUCGUGUGGGACGAAAAACAUUAGGGUUAAUAGCCUUAGUGUCUGACGGUACCAUGAAAGGAAGCACCGGCUAACUCUGUGCCAGCAGCCGCGGUAAUACAGAGGGUGCAAGCGUUGCUCGGAAUUAUUGGGCGUAAAGGGCAGGUAGGUUGUCCUAUUUGUCUGGGGUGAAAUCCCUGAGCUUAACUCAGGAAGUGCCUCAGAAACGGUAGGACUAGAGUCUUAGAGAGGUUCGUGGAAUUCCCGGUGUAGCGGUGAAAUGCGUAGAGAUCGGGAGGAACACCAGAGGCGAAGGCGACGAACUGGAUAAGUACUGACACUCAACUGCGAAAGCGUGGGGAGCAAACAGGAUUAGAUACCCUGGUAGUCCACGCUGUAAACGAUGGGUACUAGACCUUGUGGGAAUUGACCCCUGCAGAGUCGGAGCUACGCGAGUAGUACCCGCCGUCGGAGGUACGGUCGCGAAGACGUAAACGUUACAAUAGAAGUUAGUAGGCGNGAGAGNGCCGACGGACGACGACGAGGGAGGAGG